AAUCAACGCUGGCGGCGUGCCUAACACAUGCAAGUCGCACGAGAAAGGGACUUCGGUCCUGAGCACAGUGGCGCACGGGUGAGUAACACGUGAAUCAUCUACCUUCGAGUGGGGAAUAACUGAGAGAAAUCUUAGCUAAUACCGCAUAAUACCUACGGGUCAAAGCAGCAAUGCGCUUGAAGAGGAGUUCGCGGCAGAUUAGUUAGUUGGC
rnacentral:rRNA from 1 species